CCAAUUUAAUUAAUAGCCUAAUUGGGUUAGCCAAUUCAACAAAAUUUUGACCAAAUCAGCUUGAUUAAGGAGCUAGGGUUUGUGCCAAAAGUGCUAGCUUGCUUCCCGACAACCCUAGUUGGUUCUUUUGGUCCAACCAACCAAUCAAAAUCUAUUCUUGAUUAAUUUUUUAAUGUGUGUGACCCUAUGGGCUCCACAUCUAGCUACC
rnacentral:lncRNA from 1 species